UACGGAGGGAGCUAGCGUUGUUCGGAAAUACUGGGCGUAAAGCGCACGUAGGCGGCGCAGCAAGUCAGGGGUGAAAUCCCGGGGCUCAACCCCGGAACUGCCCUUGAAACUGCAGUGCUAGAAUCCUGGAGAGGCGAGUGGAAUUCCGAGUGUAGAGGUGAAAUUCGUAGAUAUUCGCAAGAACACCAGUGGCGAAGGCGGCUCACUGGCCCGGUACUGACGCUGAGGUGCGAAAGCGCGGGGAGCAAACAGG
rnacentral:rRNA from 1 species